CGGACCCAAAAAGUGAGGAGCAGCAAGAUUUAUCGCAAAGGGCUAAAGAACAAAGCUUCCACGGAGUGCAAAAGGACCCAACCGGUUUGCCACUGCUAGCUUGGGCAGUCUGCUUUUAUUCCCUUAUCUGACCACCCCCAAUCCCCCACCACCACUCACAUCCUGCUGAUUGGUCCAUUUCACAGAGAGCUGAUUGGUCUGUUUUACAGAGAGCUGAUUGGUCCAUUUUUGACAGAGUUCUGAUUGGUGCAUUUACAAUCCCUGAGCUAGACACUGAGUGCUGAUUGGUGCAUUUACAAUCCUCUAGCUAGACAUAAAAGUUCUCCAAGUCCCUGCUAGAUACAGAGUAGUGAUUGGUGCAUCCACAAACCCCAAGCUAGACUCAGAGUGCUGAUUGGUGCAAAUACAAUCCUCCAGCUAGACAUAAAAGUUCUCCAAGUCCCAGGAGCCCAGCUGGCUUCGCCUAGGUCCUGAGCCCUGGUGAAAAUUCAAGCGUGGCUUGGGAGGGCUGGCAGUGCUGGGGUACCUGGCACACCCUCCGCAGGUACUGGCCCAGGUGCUUAGCCCCUCACUGCCCGGGGCCAGCGACGCCAGCUGGCUGCUCCAAGUAUGGGGCAUGCCGAGUCCGCACCUACCAGGAACUCGCGCUGGCCUCCGAGCCCUGUGCGCAGCCCCUGUUCCCGCCCGCACCUCUACCUCCACACCUACUCCAAGCAGAGGGAGCCGGCUCCGGCCUUGGCGAAGCCCAGAAUGGGGCUACCACAGUGCAGUGGCGGGCUGAAAGGCUCCUCAAGCACGGCCAGGAGGGACGCCGAGGCCAAGGAGGCACCGAGAGCAAGUGAGGGCUGCUAGCACGUUGUCACCUCUCAGUGGCACGUACCUGUAAUCCCAG
rnacentral:lncRNA from 10 species